AAUUAGUUAAAAAAUAACAUAUGCUUGUCAAGCGUAAGUUGCUGGAAGUUUGUCAGUAUU
rnacentral:tRNA from 1 species